GGAACCCCUNCCGGGGGAACGAACCGGCCGGAAAUGAGCGCCGGACGGGUGAGUAAACACGUAAAGAACCUGCCCAUAGGUCUGGGAUAACCACGAGAAAUCGGGGCUAAUACCGGAUGUGUCAUCGGACCGCAUGGUCCGCUGAUGAAAGGCGCUUCGGCGUCGCCCAUGGAUGGCUUUGCGGUGCAUUAGCUAGUUGGUGGGGUAACGGCCCACCAAGGCGACGAUGCAUAGCCGACCUGAGAGGGUGAUCGGCCACACUGGGACUGAGACACGGCCCAGACUCCUACGGGAGGCAGCAGUAGGGAAUCUUCCACAAUGGACGAAAGUCUGAUGGAGCAACGCCGCGUGAACGAUGAAGCUUUCGGGUCGUAAAGUUCUGUUGUAAGGGAAGAACAAGUGCCGCAGGCAUGCG
rnacentral:rRNA from 1 species